GGGGUGAUGGCCUACCAAGGCGACGACGGGUAGCCGGCCUGAGAGGCGACCGGCCACACUGGGACUGAGACACGGCCCAGACUCCUACGGGAGGCAGCAGUGGGGAAUAUUGCACAAUGGGCGCAAGCCUGAUGCAGCGACGCCGCGUGAGGGAUGACGGCCUUCGGGUUGUAAACCUCUUUCAGCAGGGAAGAAGCGCAAGUGACGGUACCUGCAGAAGAAGCGCCGGCUAACUACGUGCCAGCAGCCGCGGUAAUACGUAGGGCGCGAGCGUUGUCCGGAAUUAUUGGGCGUAAAGGGCGCGUAGGCGGCCAGGUCAGUCGCAUGUGAAAGGCCGGGGCUCAACCCCGAGCACUGCAUGCGAUACUGCCUGGCUCGAGAGAGGUAGGGGCGAGUGGAAUUCCCGGUGUAGCGGUGGAAUGCGUAGAUAUCGGGAGGAACACCUGUGGCGAAGGCGGCUCGCUGGACCUUUUCUGACGCUGAAGCGCGAAAGCGUGGGUAGCAAACAGGAUUAGAUACCCUGGUAGUCCACGCCGUAAACGAUGGGUAC
rnacentral:rRNA from 1 species